UGAGAUGGUUGACCAGAGAGCACACGCUGUAUUUGUGCCGUUUGUGACCUGGUCCACUAACCCU
rfam:Dipodomys ordii contig_2202, whole genome shotgun sequence.